CCCUCCCUCUGGCGGCAUGCCUAACACAUGCAAGUCGAACGAGACCUUCGGGUCUAGUGGCGCACGGGUGCGUAACGCGUGGGAACCUGCCCUUAGGUUCGGAAUAACUCCCCGAAAGGGGUGCUAAUACCGGAUAAUGUCUUCGGACCAAAGAUUUAUCGCCUUUGGAUGGGCCCGCGUUGGAUUAGCUAGUUGGUAGGGUAAAAGCCUACCAAGGCGACGAUCCAUAGCUGGUCUGAGAGGAUGAUCAGCCACACUGGGACUGAGACACGGCCCAGACUCCUACGGGAGGCAGCAGUGGGGAAUAUUGGACAAUGGGCGAAAGCCUGAUCCAGCAAUGCCGCGUGAGUGAUGAAGGCCUUAGGGUUGUAAAGCUCUUUUACCCGGGAUGAUAAUGACAGUACCGGGAGAAUAAGCUCCGGCUAACUCCGUG
rnacentral:rRNA from 1 species